GAGUUUGAUCCUGGCUCAGAGCGAACGCUGGCGGCAGGCUUAACACAUGCAAGUCGAACGGAUUGUCCUUCGGGGCGAGUUAGUGGCGGACGGGUGAGUAACACGUGGGAACGUGCCUUUAGGUUCGGAACAACACAGGGAAACUUGUGCUAAUACCGGAUAAGCCUUUCGAGGGAAAGAUUUAUCGCCUUAGAGCGGCCCGCGUCUGAUUAGCUAGUUGGUGAGGUAAAGGCUCACCAAGGCUACGAUCAGUAGCUGGUCUGAGAGGAUGGCCAGCCACAUUGGGACUGAGACACGGCCCAAACCUCCUACGGGAGGCAGCAGUGGGGAAUCUUGCGCAAUGGGCGAAAGCCUGACGCAGCCAUGCCGCGUGGAUGAUGAAGGUCUUAGGAUUGUAAAAUCCUUUCAGCGGGGACGAUAAUGACGGUACCCGCAGAAGAAGCCCCGGCUAACUUCGUGCCAGCCGCCGCCGUAAG
rnacentral:rRNA from 1 species